rnacentral:pre_miRNA from 1 species
ACGUUGUUAAGUAGCCAAGGAUGACUUGCCUGUUACUCUCUUUCAAAAUGUUUGGUUAUAUGAGACUUUUGUUAGGUUGGUUAUCAGGCAGUCUUCUUGGCUAACUUGACAACUUCU